rnacentral:rRNA from 1 species
CCUACGGGAGGCAGCAGUGAGGAAUAUUGGUCAAUGGGCGCAAGCCUGAACCAGCCAAGUCGCGUGAGGGAUGACGGUCCUAUGGAUUGUAAACCUCUUUUGUCGGGGAGCAAGGCCCGCCACGUGUGGCGGGAAGGAGAGUACCCGAAGAAAAAGCAUCGGCUACCUCCGUGCCAGCAGCCGCGGUAAUACGGAGGAUGCGAGCGUUAUCCGGAUUUAUUGGGUUUAAAGGGUGCGUAGGCGGAAGGUUAAGUCAGCGGUCAAAUGUCGGUGCUCAACACCGGCCUGCCGUUGAAACUGGUCGUCUUGAGUGAGCGAGAAGUAUGCGGAAUGCGUGGUGUAGCGGUGAAAUGCAUAGAUAUCACGCAGAACUCCGAUUGCGAAGGCAGCAUACCGGCGCUCAACUGACGCUGAGGCACGAAAGCGUGGGGAUCGAACAGGAUUAGAUACCCCUGUAGUC